GGGUUUUGGGAUAUUUAGGGUUAAGCGUCUUUGGGUUUGAAUAGUACUGGGCUGGGUGACCUCCUGGGAAGUCCAAAUUCAGGAGUUU
rnacentral:rRNA from 1 species